ACGGAGUGCUCAUGACGGAGUUUUCGGACAACGGAUUGAGUUACUUAGUGGCGGACGGGUGAGUAACGCGUGAGUAACCUGCCUUGGAGUGGGGAAUAACAGCUGGAAACAGCUGCUAAUACCGCAUGAUGCAGUUGGGUCGCAUGGCUCUGACUGCCAAAGAUUUAUCGCUCUGAGAUGGACUCGCGUCUGAUUAGCUGGUUGGCGGGGUAACGGCCCACCAAGGCGACGAUCAGUAGCCGGACUGAGAGGUUGGCCGGCCACAUUGGGACUGAGACACGGCCCAGACUCCUACGGGAGGCAGCAGUGGGGAAUAUUGGGCAAUGGGCGCAAGCCUGACCCAGCAACGCCGCGUGAAGGAAGAAGGCUCUCGGGUUGUAAACUUCUUUUAAGAGGGACGAAACAAAUGACGGUACCUCUUGAAUAAGCCACGGCUAACUACGUGCCAGCAGCCGCGGUAAUACGUAGGUGGCAAGCGUUAUCCGGAUUUACUGGGUGUAAAGGGCGUGUAGGCGGGAUUGCAAGUCAGAUGUGAAAACCACGGGCUCAACCUGUGGCCUGCAUUUGAAACUGUAGUUCUUGAGUGAUGGAGAGGCAGGCGGAAUUCCGUGUGUAGCGGUGAA
rnacentral:rRNA from 1 species